AUUGACGAGAAUGAGUUAUGAUGAGAAAGGCCAACACCAAAUAUUUAGGAUGAAGGUAAAGGAGAAGUUGAAGAAAAAACUACACAAAUCGUACAGUAAUAUAAUUUCAACUAAAUAAAAUAAAAUAUUUAUAUAUUUUAGAUAUUAGUAUUAUGGUAUAGUUAUUAUUAUAACUUCCCUGAAUUAUUAAUCCAUAUUUCACACAUAAUAAUAACUACAGUUAUAUUAUUACAAUCAUUACAAUCCACUUUGAGAGACAGAAGUAAUAAUUAUUUUACCCAUCAUUUGCAAUGUUCCAUUAUAGGAUAACCAAUGAAAUUUUUAGAACAGGUUACUUUGAAUAGACUGUUUUUUGAUUUUCUCAUGAGUUUUCUCAUCAAAUUUUAAUAACCAAAUAAAAAACGGGAUAUGAAAAGAAAUUUAACAAUUAUUCAAAAUUUAUGUUUUAGAUUUAUAAACA